AGGAUGACGACAACCCUAAAUCUAUAAAUAUGCUCAUUAAACACUUGUUAUGGACAACUUUCAUGCUUUAUAAUUUUCUUUGUAAUUUUAGUUUUAGUUUUUCCUUUUUCUUAGGCUUAGGUUCUUUUUAGUUUUUCUAUUUGCAUUUUUCGAAAGAUCUGAUUUGUUGAACUUGAUCAACUCUUUAUGGAUUUCGUGCUUCAAU
rnacentral:lncRNA from 1 species